UAAUUUUUGGUGUACGGCACGUUGAAUUUUGAUUUCAAAAGGGAUGGUUCAAACCAUUAAAAUUAG